UACAGAGGGUGCAAGCGUUGUUCGGAAUUACUGGGCGUAAAGCGAGUGUAGGCGGCUUAUUAAGUCAGAUGUGAAAUCUCUUGGCUCAACUGAGGAACUGCAUCUGAUACUGGUAAGCUUGAGUGUCGGAGGGGAUGGUAGAAUUCCUGGUGUAGAGGUGAAAUUCGUAGAUAUCAGGAGGAAUACCUGUGGCGAAGGCGACCAUCUGGAAGACAACUGACGCUGAGACUCGAAAGCGUGGGUAGCAAACAGG
rnacentral:rRNA from 1 species